rnacentral:rRNA from 1 species
AUUGAACGCUGGCGGCAGGCCUAACACAUGCGAGUCGAGCGGAUGAAGGGAGCUUGCUCCUGGAUUCAGCGGCGGACGGGUGAGUAAUGCCUAGGAAUCUGCCUGGUAGUGGGGGAUAACGUCCGGAAACGGGCGCUAAUACCGCAUACGUCCUGAGGGAGAAAGUGGGGGAUCUUCGGACCUCACGCUAUCAGAUGAGCCUAGGUCGGAUUAGCUAGUUGGUGGGGUAAAGGCCUGCCAAGGCGACGAUCCGUAACUGGUCUGAGAGGAUGAUCAGUCACACUGGAACUGAGACACGGUCCAGACUCCUACGGGAGGCAGCAGUGGGGAAUAUUGGACAAUGGGCGAAAGCCUGAUCCAGCCAUGCCGCGUGUGUGAAGAAGGUCUUCGGAUUGUAAAGCACUUUAAGUUGGGAGGAAGGGCAGUAAGUUAAUACCUUGCUGUUUUGACGUUACCAACAGAAUAAGCACCGGCUAACUUCGUG